rnacentral:rRNA from 1 species
AGUGAACGCUGGCGGUAGGCCUAACACAUGCAAGUCGAACGGCAGCACAGUAAGAGCUUGCUCUUACGGGUGGCGAGUGGCGGACGGGUGAGGAAUGCAUCGGAAUCUACUUUUUCGUGGGGGAUAACGUAGGGAAACUUACGCUAAUACCGCAUACGACCUACGGGUGAAAGCAGGGGAUCUUCGGACCUUGCGCGAUUGAAUGAGCCGAUGUCGGAUUAGCUAGUUGGCGGGGUAAAGGCCCACCAAGGCGACGAUCCGUAGCUGGUCUGAGAGGAUGAUCAGCCACACUGGAACUGAGACACGGUCCAGACUCCUACGGGAGGCAGCAGUGGGGAAUAUUGGACAAUGGGCGCAAGCCUGAUCCAGCCAUACCGCGUGGGUGAAGAAGGCCUUCGGGUUGUAAAGCCCUGUUGUUGGGAAAGAAAAGCAGCAGGUUAAUACCCCGCUGUUCUGACGGUACCCAAAGAAUAAGCACCGGCUAACUUCGUG